rnacentral:rRNA from 1 species
UACGGAGGGUGCAAGCGUUAUCCGGAUUCACUGGGUUUAAAGGGUGCGUAGGUGGGCAGGUAAGUCAGUGGUGAAAUCUCCGGGCUUAACCCGGAAACUGCCGUUGAUACUAUCUGUCUUGAAUAUCGUGGAGGUGAGCGGAAUAUGUCAUGUAGCGGUGAAAUGCUUAGAUAUGACAUAGAACACCAAUUGCGAAGGCAGCUCGCUACACGGUUAUUAACACUGAGGCACGAAAGCGUGGGGAUCAAACAGG